rnacentral:rRNA from 1 species
UACGUAGGAUCCAAGCGUUGUCCGGAUUUACUGGGUGUAAAGGGUGCGUAGGCGGACUUGUGCGUCAGAGGUAAAAUCUCCCGGCUUAACCGGGAACCUGCCUUUGAUACGGCAAGUCUUGAGUGCGAGAGAGGACGGUAGAAUUCCUGGUGUAGCAGUGAAAUGCGUAGAUAUCAGGAGGAAUACCAGUGGCGAAGGCGGCCGUCUGGCUCGCAACUGACGCUGAGGCACGAAAGCGUGGGGAG